UGAUUAUGAUGAUAAUUGGAAAUUGCUGCAGAGAUCUGAGUUCAAGAUGGGAAAGAUGAAAAACUGAGGGAACA